UACGUAGGGUGCGAGCGUUAAUCGGAAUUACUGGGCGUAAAGCGUGCGCAGGCGGUCUUGCAAGACAGGUGUGAAAUCCCCGGGCUCAACCUGGGAACUGCAUUUGUGACUGCAUGGCUAGAGUACGGUAGAGGGGGAUGGAAUUCCGCGUGUAGCAGUGAAAUGUGUAGAUAUGCGGAGGAACACCGAUGGCGAAGGCAAUCCCCUGGACCUGUACUGACGCUCAUGCACGAAAGCGUGGGGAGCAAACAGG
rnacentral:rRNA from 1 species